AUCCCAAGCGGCUUCUGGAAAAUCAGGCUCCCGGGCCUCGGUCCCUCCCCUCAGAGGAGGGGCUGUUUAUUGCCGAAGGUUUCGCAACGCCCCAUCCCGGUCCGCCCCCCCUCCCUGCUCUGCGCCUUGGGGCGCGCGGAGACACACUCACCCAUUUCUUGGUCCAGCCUCUGAGGCAGACCAUGAUGGGGUCUGAAAAGAACAAAAGAAGACCCCUGCCCCAGAUCAAGGACACUUCCCUGGGGACAACUCUGGAUGAUGUCUUCAUAUGAUGAGGGGAAGCUUGGUGGAACCUGAACAUGGGCACUACCACUGGGGGCCAGCUGAGGGUAUUUCUCUCCCAGCUGUACCAGUGAAAGUCUUAAGCGUCUCUGGUUUCCCACCGAAGUCCAAGAAGAGACAAGCAUGGGUUUGGGAUCUGAUCUCAAGCCUAUAGCCUUCCUACCAUAAGGAGGACCUCACUCAGUUCAGCUGGUAAAAGGAAGAUAUUGUCCACAUUGGUUGCCCACCCCAUUUUCAGAUGGACAUACCUCGUUUUUCUUUCUUUUAUUCUUUUUAGUGCCACAAAGUAACUGCAUUAUUACAUUCUCAUUGUAAAAGAUGUAAAUCACACAGCAGCACGGGAAGUAAAAGUGGAAAUGUCCUGUUACAUCUGUUCUUAUUUCCUCAUCUCAUUCCUUGUUGCAACAAAAACCUUUAGCCCUGGCAAGUCUUCUUUCUUGCCACUAAGGAAGGGGACCUGCUGCUGUCGAUGCAGUUGGGCAGAACUGCUUUUCCAUUACCUUCAGCCACUCAGCUCAGUUCUUAGAUGGGAGUUCACUGUGUAUUGUGUAACAACCCAGGAGCAUCUGGACCCAAGUUUGGACGCGUCUCCGACACCAAAGACUCAGGAACAAGUGAUCGUGACAUAUGGUUUAUUUGAGGAGCUCAGUUACGGGACGAUUGGUCCAAGGCAACAGCUGGGCCAGUUUAGCACUCCACAACUGCCUAGCAGGGGACACAAGCUUAUAUACCGUUCCAGCUGGGGCAAGGGCUCAUUUUCUCCCAAGUCCUUGGGCAGCCAGCAUCCCCAGGGACUUCAUGUCCAGGCCCAGAUGUUUUUCUUCUUAUUUUUAAGGCAUUCCUUGGCCUUGGCCACUGACCCAGUCAUGCCACUCCCAGCCUUGUGCCUUAGCCUGAGUCCAUCCCAAGUUCAUUCCCAGCAUGCACUGGGGAAGAGCAAAGCUGACUCCAUUGGGAGGGGAUGCAUAUAGCUGAAUAGCAUUACCCCCUACACCAUGUGCAGAGACAUUGAUGGCAGGAGCCAAACAUUAGAGAUGGUGUUUUUGUUUCCUAGGGCUGCCAUAACAAGGUGCCACCAACUAGGUAGCUUAAAACAGUAGAACUCCAUUCUCUCACAGUUCUGGAGGCUAGAAGUCUGAAAUCAAGCUGUCAGCAGGGCCAUGCUCUAACUAAGACACCAACACAGAGAAGAUUCUUUCAUUCUGGAAUCUUUCUCUCACCUUGGCGUCACCCCAGGUUGCACAUUUUGUGGGUUCUCCUUCUCCCUUUCUGGCCUCCCCUCUCUUACUUUUCUACCCCAUCUUCAACCUCCCACUGAUUAAAUGUGGGGACCUCCACAGACCUACCUUUACCCUCUUUUGUCCUGUGAACUCUUACCCUCAGGGAUUCGAUCCACCCUUAUGGAUUGCUCGUGCUACGUGGCUUGCUUUAUAAAAAAUUUUUUUUUAAUUUAAUUUUUCCCCAUCUGUCUUGUGAACAAUAGUUUUGCAUUUCGAAGAUGGAAUUGGCUUUCCCCCACAAAACUGCUCUUUCCCCGACUUCCUUUUUAGUUCCUUCCUCCUUCCUGUAUCUAUUUAGUAUUCAGCAGUCACAAAAUAGUGUAGAGCUGUUACAGGGAGCUCUUAAUGAGUCUGCCACACUCUGGUAUCUUCUAUCAGCCAACCACUACCACCUCCCGCCAUACCAGCUGAACCAUUCUAAAGUGUAACUGGGUUUGUGCCACAUUUCUGCUCACCGGCCUGGCUUUAAAGACUUUCUACUGUCCAAUCCCAACCUGCUUUUAUUCCUCUUCCUUAUCUACACAAGUCGUUUCCAUUGAGCGUAAUCAUCUACUCCUCCCACCACCUCUAAGCUUUGCUUCACACCUGUUACUCUGAAGGGUAUUUACCACCCCAUCCCUUUGACCACUCCCAUGGGUCAUUUUUACUUAGAUCUCAAAGUCCACUCUUACUAGGAAAAUUUCUACUGAUGCACUUGACACAACAGACCACACUCCCUCUUCUGAACUCCUACAGGUUCUUGAUUCCAUUUCAUGGUACCCCUCUGUUGCAGUGAAGCAUUACAUCUGUUGGCGUAUGUCUGUUUUCCUCCAGCACACUGAACUCUAGAGAGGCAGAGCUGUAGCUUCCUAAG